rnacentral:rRNA from 1 species
GAUGAACGCUAGCUACAGGCUUAACACAUGCAAGUCGAGGGGCAGCAUGGUCUUAGCUUGCUAAGGCCGAUGGCGACCGGCGCACGGGUGAGUAACACGUAUCCAACCUGCCGUCUACUCUUGGACAGCCUUCUGAAAGGAAGAUUAAUACAAGAUGGCAUCUUAAGCACACAUGUAAUUAAGAUUAAAGAUUUAUACGGUGUACGAUGGGGAUGCGUUCCAUUAGCUAGUUGGUGGGGUAAAGGCUCACCAAGGCGACGAUCGGUAGCUGGUCUGAGAGGACGGACCAGCCACACUGGGACUGAGACACGGCCCAGACUCCUACGGGAGGCAGCAGUGGGAAUUUGGACAAUGGGGGGCAACCCUGAUCCAGCCAUGCCGCGUGCAGGAUGAAGGCCUUCGGG